rnacentral:sRNA from 1 species
GUGACAUCGCCGGUGUUUGCGGGUGGUUGUUGCUCUCGGGGCCGUGUGGAGUAGGUCUGGACCUGGACUCACGGCUGCUUGGAGCGUCCGCCAUGAGGAGAAGCCAUUCUUUGAGCUGCUAGUUGUAAUUUAAGAAUAGGCCAGGCGUGGUAGCUCAUGCCUGUAAUCCCAGCACUUUGGGAGGCCGAGGCGGGUGGAUCACUUGAGGUCAGGAGUUCGAGACCAGUGUGGCCAACAUGGUGAAACCCCAUCUCAAUGGCUUUUUAACUUUAGCCAUUCUUUGAGCUGCCAGUUGUAAUUUAAGAAUAUAGGCCGGGCGCAGUGGCUCAUGCCUGUAAUCCCAGCACUUUGGGAGGCUGAGUGAGGUGCUGGCGGAGGAGUCCAUAGUAUGUCUGCAGAAAGCGCUAAAUCACCUUCGGGAAAUAUGGGAGCUAAUUGGGAUUCCAGAGGACCAGCGGUUACAAAGAACUGAGGUGGUAAAGAAGCAUAUCAAGGAACUCCUGGAUAUGAUGAUUGCUGAAGAGGAAAGCCUGAAGGAAAGACUCAUCAAAAGCAUAUCCGUCUGUCAGAAAGAGCUG